AACGUAGGGGGCAAGCGUUAUCCGGAAUUACUGGGUGUAAAGGGUGCGUAGGCGGCCAGGCAAGUUAGGUGUGAAACCCCGGGGCUCAACCCCGGGCUUGCACUUAAAACUGCCAGGCUAGAGUACAGGAGAGGUAAGCGGAAUUCCUAGUGUAGCGGUGAAAUGCGUAGAUAUUAGGAAGAACACCAGUGGCGAAGGCGGCUUACUGGACUGAAACUGACGCUGAGGCACGAAAGCGUGGGGAGCGAACAGG
rnacentral:rRNA from 1 species